CCGGUCGGGGUGACGGCGAGGCCGAUCGCCGGUUCCGGGCCGGCCACGAUCCCCACCCUCGGCCGCCGUUCCGGCUUGGCGCGGUCGGUC
rnacentral:tRNA from 1 species